rnacentral:rRNA from 1 species
CUCCUUUGACGUUAGCGGCGGACGGGUGAGUAACACGUGGGUAACCUACCUAUAAGACUGGGAUAACUUCGGGAAACCGGAGCUAAUACCGGAUAAUAUUUCGAACCGCAUGGUUCAUAGUGAAAGGUGGUUUUGCUAUCACUUAUAGAUGGACCCGCGCCGUAUUAGCUAGUUGGUAAGGUAACGGCUUACCAAGGCGACGAUACGUAGCCGACCUGAGAGGGUGAUCGGCCACACUGGAACUGAGACACGGUCCAGACUCCUACGGGAGGCAGCAGGC